UUAGUACAGUUGCUUUUGAGGAAAUUAUCUUAUAGCAGGUUGGCAUUAUUUACAAAAUUCAAUUACAAAAGCAAACAAAUCAUUACAGAAAAUAUAGAUCACAUACUAAUCUAGAGAGUUCAUGACAAUAAUGUCUUAAAUGAAAAAUUUCAUGGAUAUCACACUCAUCACAGUACAAUCAAAAGAAAAAAAACAUAGUUUCUCGAAUCAUUGUUUGCACUUUAGACAGUCAAAUCCACAUCUUACUCGUUCAAACAGAAUGAGCGAAUUUUCAAGCACUGCU